AUUGAACGCUGGCGGCAGGCCUAACACAUGCAAGUCGAGCGAGCGGCGGACGGGUGAGUAAUGCCUGGGAAUUGCCCAGUCGGGGGGGAUAACAGUUGGAAACGACUGCUAAUCCCGCAUACGAUUGGAUUGCCCAGGUGGGAUUAGAUAGUUGGUGAGGUAAUGCCUCACCAAGGCGACGAUCCCUAGCUGGCCUGAGAGGAUGGAGAGCCACACGGGAAAUGAGAACCGGUCCAGAUUCCUACGGGAGGAAGCAGUGGGGAAUAUUGCACAAUGGGGGAAACCCGGAUGCAGCCAUGCCGCGUGUGUGAAGAAGGCCUUCGGGUUUUAAAGCACUUUCAGCGAGGAGGCGUUACUCGCAGAAGAAGCACCGGCUAACUCCGUGCCAGCAGCCGCGGUAAUUC
rnacentral:rRNA from 1 species